UAGGCCUACAGCAUUUUCCAGUGGCUUAUAAACUAAGCACAAAUUCAAGAAUAGAAAUAAAAAUUAUUAUUUUCUAAUUACACAGUUCACAAUGAAAAAAUACUCCUAUUUUAUUCACUUUAUUUUUGCUCUUUCUCCAGAUUUAAUUAAAGGAGAUUCAGUCACUAACACUGAGUCAGAUGUUCCCAGAACAGAAGCCAGUGAAGUAACUCUCCGGUGCAGCUACUCAACAAGCAGCAACGCUCCUAACCUUUAUUGGUACCGAAAAUAUUCAAAUCAAGCCAUGCAAUACAUUUUGCGCAAACCUGCGAGAUCCAGUUCUUGGAGUCCUAAUACUGCAAGUUUUGCUCAAGAACGAUUUUCUUCAACAACAGGGCAGGAUUUCACUGAACUCAAAAUUUCUGCUUUAACUUUGAGUGAUUCUGCCAUCUACUUCUGUGCACUUGUACCCACUGUGUUAUAUUCUUUUCAGACACUGAACAAAAACUGCCUAACCACAGAUAACAAAGAUAAGGAUCCCUUGAGAUGA